rnacentral:rRNA from 1 species
AUUGAACGCUGGCGGCAUGCUUUACACAUGCAAGUCGAACGGCAGCGCGGGGCAACCUGGCGGCGAGUGGCGAACGGGUGAGUAAUAUAUCGGAACGUACCCAGAAGUGGGGGAUAACGUAGCGAAAGUUACGCUAAUACCGCAUACGAUCUACGGAUGAAAGUAGGGGACCGCAAGGCCUUAUGCUUUUGGAGCGGCCGAUAUCUGAUUAGCUAGUUGGUGAGGUAAAGGCUCACCAAGGCGACGAUCAGUAGCUGGUCUGAGAGGACGACCAGCCACACUGGAACUGAGACACGGUCCAGACUCCUACGGGAGGCAGCAGUGGGGAAUUUUGGACAAUGGGCGCAAGCCUGAUCCAGCAAUGCCGCGUGAGAGAAGAAGGCCUUCGGGUUGUAAAGCUCUUUUGUCAGGGAAGAAACGGUAGAGGCUAAUAUCCUUUGCUAAUGACGGUACCUGAAGAAUAAGCACCGGCUAACUACGUG